ACACCUCNCUCUUUCAUCCCACACACACCUGUGAACUUGUGAGACAGUUGGGGAAUUUAUUUGUUAUUAUUUGUAAUAAAAUGAUAAUAAAUCACUGAACCCUUCUGUCUACUCAACUCAUAUAAACUCAAUUUAUUUUAAAUGAAUGUAAUGGAUGUAACACAUCUCAUACUAAGUUUCAACAACGGAUCUCUUGGCUCUCGCAUCGAUGAAGAACGCAGCGAAAUGCGAUAAGUAAUGUGAAUUGCAGAAUUCAGUGAAUCAUCGAAUCUUUGAACGCACCUUGCGCUCCUUGGUAUUCCUUGGAGCAUGCCUGUUUGAGUAUCAUGAAAUCUUCAAAAUCAAUCUUUUUGUUAACUCAAUUAGUUUGAUUUUGGUAUUGGAGGUCUUUUGCAGCUUCACACCUGCUCCUCUUUGUGUAUUAGCUGGAUCUCAGUGUUAUGCUUGGUUCCACUCAGCGUGAUAAAUUAUCUAUCGCUGAGGACACUGUAAAAAGUGGCCAAGGUAAAUGCAGAUGAACCGCUUCUAAUAGUCCAUUGACUUGGACACUAUUAUUAUGAUCUGAUCUCAAAUCAGGUAGGACUACCCGCUGAACUUAAGCAUAUCAAUAAAGCGGAGG
rnacentral:rRNA from 1 species